ensembl:lncRNA
AAGGGACAGCUGUGGGGCCCUGUUCUGAGCCAAUUGCAAUUUUCCUGAAUCCCUCUUUGUGGCACCUGACCACACGACUGAACAGUAGUCCAGGUGUGACAAAAUGAGAGCCUGUAGGAUCUGCCUUGUUUAAUAGUUCUGUUAAGGCAGAUCAGCACUUUAUUAUGGACCGACUUCUCCCCAUUUUAGCUACUGUUUUGCUAGCACAGACUGGAAUAGGGUUCUGGGAUUCUUCCGAUGGCAUUGAGGAGUACAACACAUCAGUCACUGGCUUUAUCAAUAAGUGCAUCGAGGACGUCGUCCCCACAGUGACUAUAAGUAUAUACCCCAACCAGAAGCCAUGGAUUACAGGCAACAAUCGCACUGAGCUAAAGGGUAGAGCUGACGCUUUCAAGGAGCGGGACUCUAACCCGGAAGCUUAUAAAAAGUCCCGCUAUGCCCUCCGACGAACCAUCAAACAGGCAAAGCAUCAAUACAGGACUAAGAUUGAAUCGUACUACACCGGCUCCGACGCUCGUCGGAUGUGGCAGGGCUUGCAAACUAUUACAGACUACAAAGGGAAGCCAAGCCGAGAGCCGCCCAGUAACACGAGCCUACCAGACAAGCUAAAUAAAUCCUAUGCUCUCUUCGAGGCGGAAACAUGCAUGAGAGCAUCAGCUGUCCCGGACGACUGUGUGAUCACGCUCUCUGUAGCCGAUGUCCUGAGCCCUAGGACCAUGCCCCAGGACUACCUGACAUGAUGACUCCUUGCUGUCCCAAGUCCACCUGGCCGUGCCUUAUUAUUAUUCGACCAUGCUGGUCAUUUAUGAACAUUUGAACAUCUUGGCCAUGUUCUGUUAUAAUCUCCACCCGGCACAGCCAGAAGAGGACUGGCCACCCCACAUAUGCUCUCUCUAAUUCUCUCUUUCUUUCUCUCUCUCGGAGGACCUGAGCCCUAGGACCAUGCCCCAGGACUACCUGACAUGAUGACUCCUUGCUGUCGUCAGUCCACCUGACCGUGCCACUGCUCCAGUUUCAACUGUUCUGUCUUAUUAUUAUUCGACCAUGCUGGUCAUUUAUGAACAUUUGAACAUCUUGGCCAUGUUCUGUUAUAAUCUCCACCCGGCACAGCCAGAAGAGGACUGGCCACCCCACAUAGCCUGGUUCCUCUCUAGGUUUCUUCCUAGGUUUUGGCCUUUCUAGGGAGUUUUUCCUAGCCACCGUGCUUCUACACCUGCAUUGCUUGCUGUUUGGGGUUUUAGGCUGGGUUUCUGUACAGCACUUUGAGAUAUCAGCUGAUGUACGAAGGGGUAUAUAAAUAAAUUUGAUUUGAUUUGACUCAUUGUGAAUCCAGCCAACAUGUCAGAUUUUAAAAAGACUUUUCGGCAAAAGCAUAAGAAGCUAUUAUCUGAUGAUAGCACAACAGUAAACAAAGAGGGUAGCAUAUUUCAACCCUUCAGGCGCUGCACAAAACAC